GAAUAUUUCUCAAGAGGAUUGGCUAUACCAUCAGUCACAAUAGUCGGCCCAAUUGAUGACGGGGCACUGCUGAGCUGUGAAGUUCUUAAAGCUUCUCCUGAACUCACUGUAGUCUGGUAUGACAGUGCUGGAAACAACGUUUCUAAUAAAGCACCACAGAUCACUGACAAAGGGCAAACCUUAUAUGAUGUGAUCCUGGAGACCACAGUGACCAAGACAGACAACUACACCUGUGUAGCCACACAGGUGGAUCGUCACCAUCGGUUUAAAAAAACUACAUAUGUGAAUACCAGAGGUAAAGGAAUCUCAGUUACUCCCAGUUUGGUCCUCAUUGGAAUUACCAUUGGAGUUCUUACUGGAGUUUAAGUACUACAGAAAAUAACUCUUCAGGUAUGACAGAUGACAGGACCGAUGACAACUGAACCCAACAACCAAUGACGGGGAGUUGAAACAACCAAAGCCUCUAAGCUAAGGAAGAGAUGAGGAUUGAUUGAUGUUUUUCUCAAUAAGAAGAAUUGAGUCAAUCAUUUGAACAUAAAUAGAAAUGAGAUAUACAAAAUUUUCCUCUAAAUAAAAUUUAUCAGGUAUAUUUACCCUGAUAUCUGACAUUGAUUAAUGAUUGAAGUAAGUUGUCUGAAAAGGGGUAUGAAGAAGUAAAACUUAUUUUUCAUACCCCUUCUCCCUCUAUUUGCACUUAAAGUAACUUAAAGUACCUUUCUGUUAAACAACAAUGUUUUUGAUCCAAAAUUCACAAAAAUAUACACAAUUAUAUAUACACAUAAAUGCACACACACACACUGCUCAGAUAUAUCAUUCACCUCGCCUCCUCAUUACAAUACCUGUUGAAAAACAUCAGUUUAAGCCUUUUUUUUAAACAGACUCAUGCUUGGACAUUACUUCAGCUCUUUCUGGAGUUUAUUCCAGACCUUCACACCACUGACUGAAAUGCACAUUCUCUUCGUGGUGGUUCCAACUCUCAAGGUUUUGAAGUUAUAAAAAAAAAAGAGAAAUUCUCCUAAAUUGUUAUAAGACAUUAAAAAAAAAUAUCCCAGUCAGUACUAUCAUAUCAAGUUUUCUUAACACACUAAAUAAUCAACACUUGAACAAAUGAACAAAGUGGAGUUACUUUAACCCAAAUUAAUUUUGCUGUUUCUAUUAAAAGUUUUGAUUUAAAAAAAACAAAUCAAACUAAGAUUGUGCUUGCAUGUGGUUUUGUAUCUCACAGAUUUCUUCACAAAUUGAUAUUUCCUAAUGAAGAACUGUUAUUGGAAUAUAAUGCUAAAGUCACUAUGGCCUGACACCACUUGGACAUGUGAGCACAGGAGACAUGAGAGUGGCUGCUCCACGGUUCUGCUGAUUGCCAAGGACAAAUGCUUGCAUGUUACUGUGCAGGAUACUGAUUGUCCCGGAUAUGACUGUCUCUGUUUUUUCUCACGGCAAGGCCACUGUCGGGUAUUAGACUUGGUGUUGAUGGUGCAAACAAAAUAAAAUAGAAUAGAUUUAUAUACAGAAGCUAUAUACACAGUAGACUGUGCAUUAAUGUAACGCAGAAGCUUGUA